GAAAACGUCUGCCGCGAUCAGCCUCUCCAUAAAAGCACGUGAGUCUCCAUGGAUCUCUCCCAUGUUCAGUGAUAAUCGAGUCAAUAUGAUAACGGGAAAAAGUUUUAAUAACCAGAUGCAAAGAGCUCUUCCACUACAUGCAAAGACCUCCACUUCUUCCACUGCUAGCUACUGCAAAAGAACAGUCAAAACCUAAGGUACCCGCCAGGCCUUCCACCCUGUUCUUUGCCAAUUGAGUUUCAACAAUACACAGAACCUCCGGCGAACACUCCCUCACCAGGUCGCGGAGUUCUUUGACAGUCGCUGGAUCACCAAUCCCCCUGCAAUUCCAACACAAGGUCUUCAUCGCCCAAAUCUCAAAUCAAUACGCUUGAAGCUGUCCACCAGAGGAGCAAGGUCUCCUCCUGCUAACACCACUCAGAACACCAAAACCGGCACAGACACGACGUCCGAGCGGGACUGCAGACUCCCCACCGGCUGGCCGGCGGGAGGACGAAAACCCCUAUAUGGGUAAGAUCAGCGGCGACCAUAGGUAGACAUCUGGGAUCAAAGAGACAUACGGCUGGAGGUGGCCGCCGGCGCCGGGGGCAGCCGGCAGGAGGAGACGGCCGCCAACGCCGAAGUGGCGGCGGCGGAAAAGAACGGCAGUUGGGGAAUAAACAGGGGAUUUACGUGUGGGCUUGGGCAUUGUACUAGUAGUCAUUAAUUUACGUUGCAAGGCCUUAGCGGGCCCUGUUCCCUUGCCCCACCUGGGCUAUGCGGUCGUGGUAUAUAGGAGCUGGAUGUAGCUGGGCUUACUAUUUUAGCGAAGCCCAGUUGACAUAGGACCAAG
rnacentral:lncRNA from 1 species